rnacentral:rRNA from 1 species
UGUAAGGAUGGCCAUCGCAAACCCCAUUGGGUCUCUUGGAAGGUUACAAAACAAUCUAAAGGUACGCGAGGUUUGAGUUUCAAAGAUUUUGAACUUUUUAAUCUAGCUAUGCUUGCUAGACAGGCGUGGAGGUUGCUGAACCCGGGAUCUUUAAGUGCUCGUAUUCUGAAGAGUAUCUACUUCCCCAAGAUAAUGAUAUUGCAUGCAAAUCUUGGCAGCCACCCUAGUCAGAUCUGGAGGGUUGUUGUGGAGGGUAUAGAUACUUUGAAACAAGGGUUGAUCAAGCAGAUUGGCAAUGGUGAAGACACAAACAUUUGGAAUGAUAAAUGGCUCCCCCGAGAUGAGAUGAUGAGAACAUAUGGGUGUUUGGCUCAAGAUCCACCCACACAUGCUGCUGAAUUAAUUGAUGCCACCUCAGCUACAUGGUGCAGGAGGUUUUCUUCCCUAUUGAUGUGGCUGUCAUCAUGGGUAUUCCCUUAUGAACAAUGA